rnacentral:rRNA from 1 species
AGUGAACGCUGGCGGUAGGCCUAACACAUGCAAGUCGAACGGCAGCACAUUAAGAGCUUGCUCUUACGGGUGGCGAGUUGCGGACGGGUGAGGAAUACAUCUGAAUCUACUUUUUCGUGGGGGAUAACGUAGGGAAACUUACGCUAAUACCGCAUACGACCUACGGGUGAAAGCAGGGGAUCUUCGGACCUUGCGCGAUUGAUUGAGCCGAUGUCGGAUUAGCUAGUUGGCGGGGUAAAGGCCCACCAAGGCGACGAUUCGUAGCUGGUCUGAUAGGAUGAUCCGCCACACUGGAACUGAGACACGGUCCAGACUCCUACGGGAGGCAGCCGUGGGGAAUAUUGGACAAUGGGCGCAAGCCUGAUCCAGCCAUACCGCGUGGGUGCAGAAGGCCUUCGGGUUGUAAAGCCCUUUUGUUGGGAAAGAAAAGCAGCAGGUUAAUCCCCCGCUGUUCUGACGGUACCCAAAGAAUAAGCACCGGCUAACUUCGUG